UCUCCGUCCCUUUCAGACCAGAUGGGUCACCGGCUGUUGAAAAAGAAUCAAAACCUCUGAAAAGGAAAUACAUGUACGUGGUUGAAAACUCAAAAGGCACCAAAAGUGAUACAGUGACAAGCCUGCAGGGCCCUCGGCAUCAGCCUAGCCUGCUCGGGAUCCCCAGCGCACAAGGCUCCACACCUUCCCUCUACCACCUGUUACACGAUUGGCAAGUCUUUCUUGAUGCCUCGCUCCACUUCCUUCUACUCCAGGUGCAGCCCGGGACCUUUUAUUUUGCCCUCAGGGGGGGGGGGGGGGAUCCUCCUCUUGGAGAUGGUGACUUGGUUCCCUCCCCCGCCCCACGUACGCAAUCAGCCACCCUCUCCCCACCUUGAAGGCCUCUGAACUCCUGGCCCAGCCGUUACUGCCAACCACGUCAUGCUUGCUUGGCACAUCCCUUCGGUAUUAUUAGCCCAAAUUACACUUUGGCCGUGGAGAUGAGGAAAUCCCAACCCAAAGCCAAGUCUUCCAGCAGGGGGUAAAUCCAGGCCAGUCCCUUUGGCAACUGAAUCUCUCCUUUUUGGGCGAUGCGCUGGCCCAAUCUUGCACCAUACCCAUCACCUUGACUCCCAGAUCCUCACACAUGGCCCGUAGUGAGAUAAGGCCCAAGUUAACCCCACACCUGGGAUGGCCUCCCCCUGUCUUCCUCUCCAAACCCUCCCCUGGUUAACCUCAUCCUUCAUAUUUACUCACUAAGCAAUUAUUGAGCACUAUUCCAGGUCCUUGGGAUGCAUCAGUGAACAAAACAGAGAAAGACCCCUGCCUCUGUGGAGCUUACAUUUUAGCAGAAGAGACAGAUAAUACACAAUAUAUUUAUUAAAUAGGUAA